GGACGGAGCCGGGAAGCGGAAGCGGCGAGCGCGCCGGGAGCGCAGCUGCGGGCCUGGGGGCGGCAGGAGCCGCGGAGCCGUCCCGGCAGCGGGGCUGCCGGAGCGGGCGGCCGAGACAAUGGCGACGAUAGGGCCAGUUUGGAAUGUGUGGAUUUUUGAGUGAAACCUCUUCCCCAGAUAGAAGAAACCUUCAAGGAACAACUAUUGGCAGUGAGUCUGCAGAGUCAUCUGGAUGCAUAAUAUGGAAUGUUCUAAGCCCAGACGCAGCUGAAUGGGUGGCUCCACUGAUGAGGAGUGAUAUCUUUGUUAUCUGACAAGAGUCAUCCUAAACAAAAUACAUCAGCCAAGAAAGACGGUUUAAAAAAUGGUGAUAUAAAUGUAGACUUUGAUCAACUGAAACUUGAUGAUAAAGUUUUUCUACAAGCAGAAAUGAAUGCUGAACCCUUACGAAGAGAAUAAAGGUUAUUUGGUACAUAUUGGUGGUCUCUGCCCUUCAGUAUCUGAGGCUGAUUGAAGGUCUCAUUUCCAGAAAUACCAAGUUUCUGAAAUUUCAAUUUAUGAUUCUUCUACUAAUUACAGACAUGCAUCUCUUGCUUUCCAAAAAAAAGGAAACAGUGAUGUAAAGAUGGCUGUGAAAGGAAUGAUGCCAAAAAGCUGGAGCACGGAGCUUUGUUACGAGAACUUAAUAGAAGACGCAGCGGACACGUGAGCUCCAGGGGAGGCGAGUCCUCUGGAGUCUGUGGGUCCCGUGUGCACAGCGGCCACUGCACGAUGGGACAAGCCCUCACCCCACCCGCAUCUCCAGCUGCUCAUCUAGAGAAUUAUUAAAGCCAGUACCAUGUGGCUGUGUUGCGGUUAAAUGAGAUAAUGCAAACCUCGUAACGAGUGCUUGUUCACAUCGCUUCUCCUCCCUCCCAGGUAUGGGGAGGCACUGUCUUACCAGGGGGAGCCCUGUGCCACCGUCACACGUUGCAGUGGCCACGCGACAACAUGGAGGAUGACUCAGCCAUGCUGAGACAACACACACGUACACAGAAAAUGACUAGAAAGAACAACAUCAAAAUGAGUACCUUAGUUGAAUUUGGGUAGAGACAUUAUAGGUGGUUAUUUUUCUGUUUUUCUAUUUUCCGAGUAUCCUAUAAUAUGGUUAUAUUACUUUUAGAAGUGGAAUAUUUCAUGGCAAACAAAUAUUUUACUUUAAAAUUGCAUUGAACAAAAAGUGUUAAACUUCAAAACCUAAACAGCAUCUUUAUAGAUCCUCCAUCAAUGGAGUUAAUUUUAAAAUUCUAGAGUAUAUUCUGAAGCACUAGGUUCUUCUUAAUUCUAACACUUAACCUGGGACAAAUAAUUUACUCUGAGAGCUGCAUUCUUCACCUAUAAAGUGGGGCUAAUUUUAACUCACAGUUGUGAGGAUGAAAUGAGAUAAUAUGUAAGUACCAUGGAGAUGAUCAUGUUUUGAAAACUUCGAAGUUUACGAAGAUGUAAAUAUAAACCCAUUAAAUACCAGAAGAAAAAAUUUUAAAUGUUUAGUAACUUGAACUCCAACAUUAGAUGGACCUAUAUUCAAAUUUUACCUCUGCCACCAACAACCUGGAUGACUUUGGGCAACUACUUCACCUUCUCACUACAGCACCUUCUCAGCAGUGGGGGUAACGACCACUUGCCUGCGUUGCUGUGAAAAUUAAAUAAGUAACUUAUAUAUAGCACAGUGCUUGUCACAAAAUAAUGGCUCAUUUAAUGUUACCAAUUAUUAUAAUCCUCCUUAAAACCACUUCUACAGUUAAUAAAACUGAAUGUUAUUAUUAAUGUCCCAAUCACUGUUUCACAUUAAGAUACAAAAAUAGAAAAGACACAUUCCCUACUCUUAAGGUUCUCACAGUCAAUAAAAGAAAUGGAAAUAUAUUUCAAAGAUAAUAGGAGACUUCAAUAACUAAUAAAAUCAAAUUUUAUGUCUAUUACUAUGAGAACAGAGACAAAGGGGAACAGGAUUGGUUACAAUGAGGAAUGUAUCAAAAUCUCAAAGGAGAUGAUAUUUUAGUUGGAUCUUGAAAGACUGGGUAUGAUUUUGUCCAUUAAUGAUGGAAAAGUACAAAAUUAAAAAUCCAAGCCAGGCAUGAUGGCACAUGCUUGUAAUCCCAGCUACUCAGGAGGGUGAGGUGGGAGGAUCAUUUGAAUCCAAGACUUUGAGUCCAGGCUGGGCAACCUAGCGAGAUCCCAUCUCUUAAAAAAAAAAUCUAUAGAGUGCUCGGCCAUUGAGACUUGUCUCAUCAGAUGGAACACUGAGAGGGGAAAUGUUGGCUGUAAAAAGAAGAAAUAUCAUGAUCUAAUUGUGAAGAGCUUUAUACAAAUGCCCUGCUCCAUUAUUUGGACUUUAUGCACAAUAGGGAAAUCAAAAGAGGAUUUAAGAACACAGUCAGACCUAAAAUUUAGAAAAAUAACUGGUAAAAUUAGGUUGACUUAACAGUGUCAGGAAAGACUUCCCAGGGAUGACAUUUGGAAGAAGAAGUCUGGGAAGGUCAUCCCAGGUGGCGUGUGGGAGACACAGACCUGAGGACCUGCCAAGCGCAUCUCUGGCUUCUAGAGCGUAGCAGAGUGGGGGCGGCGGAGGUGAUGUGGAAGACACGGGCCAAGACAGCGACACCUUUGCCCAGGAAUGUGGGCUUCGAGGGCGAGAGAGAAAGGCCUGCGAUGGUAGAGCGAUCUGAGAAGAUGACGUUGUGGAAAAACAGGGGCUGGAGGAACAGGCAGGAAAUCACAAGAGUGAAAACUCAGCCCAGAAGAGGGAAGAACAGAUGGACUCAAGAGACAUUUGAGGGGACCGUUCAGUCUAGCCUGGGAGGGAAAAAAAUGAAACUGCAAAGAAAUGUCAAGCACAUGAACACAGCUAGACAACAAUCCAAGGCAAGAUGAAUGUCAGAAGAUUUUGGCAUUCUGGAAAAAACUCACCAUGGACUUUGGUUAUUCAGAAUUAGCUACUUCUGUAAGGCUAUCAUAUAAAAUAAAAUAGUAAUGAUAACAGUGGUAAAGUAUACCUGCCAAUCCACUUUCACAAUAAGAUACGUAACAAGAAUAAAUCAAUAUAGAUUGAAAGGAGAAUACAAUGAGUAAUUCCAUGAAGAAUCCUUGGAAUUACAUAAGCAGCAUAAUAACAGGUAGUUUUUCAAACUAACUUAUUUACAAAGAAGUAACUUAGGAAUGGACAUUCUCCUCCUCUCUAAUAAUUCUAAGAGAGAGAGACAUAGCAAACUGUAACUUAAAUAAACAGUUCCUGGAAAUUGGGCUUCAACAAGUUAAAUUAUAAUACAUAAAAAAAGAAAUAAUAUGUACCUAGUUGCAAUUUCAAAGUCAAGCUACACACGAAGAGGACUUACAGUUUGGGCUUAUAUAUAUCUGUAGCAACAGGAAGAACUCCAGGAGAACUCAGAAAUUUCAAUGCCAAACAUGUCACAAGAGGUCAGAGGUCACAUUUUUCUAACUGGGGUUUGACCCUAAAGUAAGCAAUAUAUGUAAUUAAUUGAUGCCCUAUUCUGAAACAUUAACUUGAAUGGGACUAGUCUACCAAUCCGCUGUUAGUCUAAUCAUGCUAGUCACAAUGUGAUCAUCUCUAAAAACACAAAGUCAAAGUUACUCAAGACAGAAAGGAAACAUAUAGGUUGACUAUUUUGAUUGCUUUUUCCCAGUAGUCAAUAAAAAAUACGUUAACCUCCCAAUCACACUGCCUAGCUAAUAAUGCCAGUAGAGACUAGUAAAAAAUCCGUAUCUGUUUCAAAAGCGUGUCUUUAAACUGUAACUAUUACUUAAAAUAAUUAUAAACUUCUAAUGCCAUGUUAUAAUUACCCAGAUUAGGUGUGCAUAAUUUGUUUGGAUUAAAGAAAAGGAAGUGAUAUAUGUAACUUUAUUUUAUUGGACAUUAAACUAUACAUGGCAUUUAGAGAAAUAACAUGACAAUGAGUUAUGAAUCAUAUUAGGAAUCUGCAUGAUUGAAGGCUUAAAUUUCACUUGUUAUUGAUUCUUUGUUCUAUGAUUCUUCACCCUUUACAUCUUGAUUGGAAAUCUGUAAAACAAGGGCAUCAUCUGAAGCAUAAAAAUAUUUUAUAAAUAUUUAAUAGAAAUGUUAAGUAACUGAGUAUUUCAAAGCUUUAAUGACACCUAUCCAAAUUACAUUAAAGUGAUGAAUUCAUGUGACAACUAUAGUGUUUACAGACAUUUAAGCUGAAAAGAGGACUACUAUUAUGCGUAACUUCAUACAACCCUCAACUGACUACUGUAUUUCCUUUUUUAAUAAUAAAAUGACUCAAUUGUUUCAAUUUUAUGAUGAUUAAACAUUAGAAGACAUCCUUCCAUUUCUAGAAACGUAAAACGUUUUUACUGAGAGGCCAAAAUUCGUGCUUAUUUAGUUCCCAAAUGAAGUCAUCUAUAGAAUUUAUGUUAUAAUUAAUUUAUAAACAUGAGCUGUAAAUCAGAGGGACAGCUUCACCAUUAAUCAAAACAUCAGACUUAAUCCCAGAUAUGUAUUUUGAGCUCAGAUUGAUCUUUUUAGUAAAAAUACUUUCCACAGCAAAAUAAUAAAACUUGUGAAAGAA